AACGAACGCUGGCGGCAUGCCUAACACAUGCAAGUCGAACGAGACCUUCGGGUCUAGUGGCGCACGGGUGCGUAACGCGUGGGAAUCUGCCCUUGGGUUCGGAAUAACAGUUAGAAAUGACUGCUAAUACCGGAUGAUGUCGAAAGACCAAAGAUUUAUCGCCCAAGGAUGAGCCCGCGUAGGAUUAGGUAGUUGGUGGGGUAAAGGCCCACCAAGCCGACGAUCCUUAGCUGGUCUGAGAGGAUGAUCAGCCACACUGGGACUGAGACACGGCCCAGACUCCUACGGGAGGCAGCAGUGGGGAAUAUAGGACAAUGGGCGAAAGCCUGAUCCAGCAAUGCCGCGUGGGUGAUGAAGGCCUUAGGGUUGUAAAGCUCUUUUACCAGGGAUGAUAAUGACAGUACCUGGAGAAUAAGCUCCGGCUAACUCCGUGCCAGCAGCCGCCGUAACAC
rnacentral:rRNA from 1 species